GCCCUCAUAGGUUUUAUUCUCAUGUAUAAAUCUUGCAUUCAAUUUGAAUGUUCUUCUCAUUUCCAUGAUAUUUUACAUGAUCUCUCCAUUUUAAUUUCAGAACAACAUCAGAGGGAAUACGAGGGAUGUGAGAAAAGUGUAGGUAAGUUUUCAAAAAUCCCAUUGCUUCCAAACCCAUUAAAAUGACAGUUUUCUCCUGGCAUUAUCAUUUCCUGCCUUUGAAUCUACAUCCGUCCUCUGCCUUGCUCUUCUCCUGGAUGUCGGCCCUUCCCUCCCCAAUUAUACGUGUAUGCAUUUCAUCUUA
rnacentral:lncRNA from 1 species